UACGGAGGAUGCAAGCGUUAUCCGGAUUUAUUGGGUUUAAAGGGUGCGUAGGCUGGCCAAUAAGUCAGAGGUGAAAAGCACGUGCUCAACAUGUGCACUGCCUUUGAUACUGUUGGUCUUGAGUGCAAAUGAGGUUGGCGGAAUGUGUAGUGUAGCGGUGAAAUGCUUAGAGAUUACACAGAACACCGAUAGCGAAGGCAGCUAACCAAGAUGCAACAGACGCUGAGGCACGAAAGCGUGGGGAUCAAACAGG
rnacentral:rRNA from 1 species